UAUGGUCAAGCGAUGAAGCGCAUACGGUGGAUGCCUAGGCAGCCAGAGGCGAUGAAAGACGUGGAAGCCUGCGAUAAGGCUCGGCGAGGUGGCAAACGACCUGUGACCCGGGCAUUUCUGAAUGGGGAAACCCACCCACGGUAACGUGGGUAUCCCACCCUGAAUCCAUAGGGGUUGGGAGGCGAACCGGGGGAACUGAAACAUCUCAGUACCCCGAGGAAAAGAAAUCAACCGAGAUUCCCCCAGUAGCGGCGAGCGAACGGGGAGCAGCCCUUAAGCGUGUGACCGAUUAGGCGAAUGGCCUGGGAAGGCCAGCCAUAGCGGGUGAUAGCCCCGUAGCCGAAAAUCUGAUCACGUGAAAUCGAGUAGGUCGGGGCACGAGAAACCUUGACUGAAGACGGGGGGACCAUCCUCCAAGGCUAAAUACUCCUGGCUGACCGAUAGUGAACCAGUACCGUGAGGGAAAGGCGAAAAGAACCCCGGAGAGGGGAGUGAAAUAGAUCCUGAAACCGUAUGCGUACAAGCAGUGGGAGCAUGCAUGUCAUGUGACCGCGUACCUUUUGUAUAAUGGGUCAGCGACUUAUUUUCAGUGGCGAGCUUAACCGAUUAGGGGAGGCGUAGGGAAACCGAGUCUUAACUGGGCGACCAGUCGCUGGGAAUAGACCCGAAACCGGGCGAUCUAUCCAUGAGCAGGUUGAAGGUUGAGUAACAUCAACUGGAGGACCGAACCAGGAUCUGUUGAAAAAGAUUUGGAUGACUUGUGGAUCGGAGUGAAAGGCUAAUCAAGCCCGGAGAUAGCUGGUUCUCCUCGAAAGCUAUUUAGGUAGCGCCUCACGUAGCACCGCCGGGGGUAGAGCACUGUUUCGGCUAGGGGGUCAUCCCGACUUACCAACCCGAGGCAAACUCCGAAUACCGGUGAGUGACGCGUGGGAGACACACAGCGGGUGCUAACGUCCGUUGUGAAAAGGGAAACAACCCAGACCGUCAGCUAAGGUCCCGAAAUCCUGGUUAAGUGGGAAACGAUGUGGGAAGGCUCAGACAGCUAGGAGGUUGGCUUAGAAGCAGCCAUCCUUUAAAGAAAGCGUAAUAGCUCACUAGUCGAGUCGGCCUGCGCGGAAGAUGUAACGGGGCUCAAACCAGGUACCGAAGCUACGGGU
rnacentral:rRNA from 1 species